ACAGAUAGCCCAUCACUAGGAGCGCACAACACAGAUAGCCCAUCACUAGGAGCGCACAACACAGAUAGCCUAUCACUAGGAGCGCACAACACAGAUAGCCCAUCACUAGGAGCGCAUGACUAUAUCAUUGUCUUGAGUGGGCCAUUUAAAAGACUUGCUAUUUAAACCUUGCAGAGGGCUCUUGGCCAGUGUAGAAGAUCUAUGAGAGACUUAAUGCUACUCAGUCCCAUCUAUUCUAAGGUGUCUCUUGUCUCUAUAACGCUUGUCGCGCUGCCUCUUCAACCGCAAAGUAAAGAAAAUUCAAGAACGCCUGCCCCCAGUUUUUCGAUGUCGGUUACGUCCUUGAAUUCAAACAGCAAA